rnacentral:rRNA from 1 species
UACGUAGGGGGCAAGCGUUGUCCGGAUUUAUUGGGCGUAAAGAGCGUGUAGGCGGCUAGGUAGGUCCGUUGUGAAAACUCGAGGCUCAACCUCGAGACGCCGAUGGAAACCAUCUAGCUAGAGUCCGGAAGAGGAGAGUGGAAUUCCUGGUGUAGCGGUGAAAUGCGUAGAUAUCUGGAGGAACACCGGUGGCGAAGGCGGCAUCCUGGACCGGUAUUGACGCUGAUGCGCGAAAGCCAGGGGAGCAAACGGG